UGCUUGUUACAUGCAAUAAGUCAAUCAGCUCCCUACAAUUUGAGGGAUAAGAACUUUUUUUUUGUCUUCAACAUUCCUUGAGAAAGUUGUGGGGAGUGCCAGUUUGGGAAACUACUACAAUUCUUUGGCAGGAAAAACAACUCGGAAAACCUCCUAGGAAGUUUCAGAGGUGACCUGGAAGAACUAACUGGUCAAGUGAUUUGUGUAGAGUCAUGCACCCCCAAGAUCGUGCAGAGUUUGGUGCUGCCAUUGCUGCUUUCAUGUCAUUUCCCCAGAUGAACUUAUACUGCAGCGUUUUUUUUUAUCUUGUCAACACACCACAAUUCCUUUGUAUCUGAAUUUGUGGCUGGGGUGAUCACAACAGUCAUCGGAAUUUAUUCUGUGAAACCAUCAGAUGAUUAUGCAAACAGCCAGAGAUUCUGGCUUGGAGAUUGACAAAGACAAUUGUUUUGAUUACUUCCAUUACUCUGACGUCUGUAGUAUCAUUUCAAAGUUGUGGACCUUGUAUCAAUGCCUGCUGUUGCUGGACUUUUGUCAUGUUUGAUUCUACUUGUUUAAUUCUUAUUUAUGAUCUUUUAAAUUUAUAAUUGUUGUAUCUAGUCAACUUCCUUUUCAAUGUAACAUAUUUAACAGCUUUUUUAAACUUUAUUUAUUUUAAUAUAGUUUCCUAUUAAAUUACUUUUUAUUACUACACAGUGCUUUGCCUAAUAAGCACUUUGAUAAUCUUGAUUUUGAAUAUGCUGGCAGUUUGUUUUGUGAUGUCUCUGUCUGGAUAUCUAUAAUAAUUUGUUUUCUGGGAAGAGUCUUGUUUCUUAGAGUACUUUACAUGGAGAUAAUCUUGUUGUUGCUCUUGUGUGUACAAUUAGUGUUAUAGUUCUAUUUCAGUCAUUUUCUAAAGUAGAAUUAUAAUCGUAACAGCAAUAAUAAAAAGAAUAAAUAAAUGAACUUAAAAAAUCCCCAGAACUGACAGCAACUGUAACAAUACUUAUAAUUUCAUCUACAGACUGAUAAUGUACAGAAAUAGGAAUGAAAUUCGCAUUAGUCAUUUCAGACUCCUACCACAAACUCCAGUAAGGCUGGCAAUACAUAAUCCCUUCCUUGAAACACUUAACAUGAAGAAAUACUGCCUUUAAUUAAAUGCUCUAAACAUCCACAGCUUAACAAAAAAGAGAAAGCGGUAAAACAUAAGCAUGAAGUCUACUGAUAUAAGGCUCAGAGCAACACCCUAAUAAAGUUUGCUGAUGAUAUCUAUCAAAACUGUGGCCCUUUCUCAGGUUCAUAUGUAGAAUCAACCUCUGCAGGAUUGGGAGCUGCACCCUAAUAAAGCUUGCUGUUGACAUCCAUGUAAACCCUUACCCUUUUUCUGUUUCAUUCAGUUCAUAUGCAGACAACUUGAUAAGGACAGACAAUGGAAUCCCUAUUAAUAACAUCAGACUGACCAUAUCAACUAAGUAUUUAUGAACCAAUUCAAAAUGUUUUAAAUGUAUUCUGUAACUGAUUUAUUUUCGUUUCUAAGCCCCUAACACAGGUGUGUAGACAAGCUGACCAGGUCCCAGGCUCCAAUAUUAAGGUCUUACAAACCUAAACCAAGUAAGAGAAGAGCACCCACCCCCUGAAUUCUGAACUUCUGUGAAUCCUCUCCAGCAACUGUACUAGUAAACCAAAUCAGAAUCCCAGGCUCCAAUAUUAAGGUCUUACAAACCUGAACCAAGUAAGAGAAGAGCACCCAUCCCCUGAGUUCUGAACUUCUGUGAAUCCUCUCCAGCAACUGUGCUAGUAAACCAAAGCAAAGUCCCAGGCUCUAAUAUUAAGGUCUUACAAACCUGAACCAAGUAAGAGCAGAGCACCCACCCCCUGAGUUUUGAACUUCUGUGAAUCCUCUCCAGCAACUGUGCUAGUAAACCAAAGCAAAGUCCCAGGCUCCAAUAUUAAGGUCUUACAAACCUGAACCAAGUAAGAGAAGAGCACCCACCCCUGUGUUCUGAACUUCUGUGAAUCCUCUACAGCAACUGUGCUAGUAAACCAAAGCAAAUAUAUCCUAGCAUACUAGUGUGUUUUUUUUUUAGCUAUUGUACCUGGUCGGCUGAAACACAUCUCUGCGUACCCAAACCCCUCACCUCAAGCUCUCUACUUGUCCUCCUAGCUCCCUUCCUAUCUGCCCAUCCACGCUCUCUGUUAGUUCCUUAUCUCUCCACCGAAGUCACUUCUGGUUUAGCCCCUGUAUUCUUACUACUGUCUAUACUUUCUCCUCACACAAUCUACUUCAGCCACAUAGACUCUCACUCACCCAACCCUGACCCAAGAGCUCCCCCCCCUCUAUCACCCCACUUACCUUCUUAGCCUUGCUUACAGCGUAGUAUACAUUUUCCCCCCUCCCCAGUCUUGCUUCCAGCUUCUUGUAUGUUAAACCCUCCUCCAUAGCCUUGUGCAAAAUAAAAUAAGAUAAAAGGACUUAAUCAGUAAGAGAGAUAAGUCUGUCCUGCUGAAAUGCCUCUCACUGAUUGUUUUUUUAUAUCACCGUGCCUCCACCAGGAUGGAAUUACGUCACCUAGCACUUCCCUUUAUAGAUUAUCCCUUCCUGUUCUCUCGUACAACUACAUUACCCUUCCCUCCCAUGAUGCUUUGCGGAUUUGAAGAGCCACACUGAGACUGCUGCACCAUUUCUUUUAGUUUUUAAGCCCCUAACAGUUGUGUGGACAAGCUGACCAGGUAGGCUCUCAAUUUUAGGACUUUCUAAAAUUAUACAUUGCUACAUUUGGCUCUGUUUCUUAGCUUUUAACAUACAGUACAUUCACACGUACCUGGGGAGUAAACUUCAUGCUUGUACUUCCUAGCGUUUUAAUGGUAGUGCUUUUGAAAUAGUUGAUUAGGCAGUACUUUUCUAACAACUGAUUGGAGUUUAUAUUGGUCCUUACUGUUUUCUAUUGGAGUCAUUGUUAAAUUGCCCUGUGCUAUUGCUUGUUGGUCCAUUUAUUUAUGGGAUAAUCUGCAUUAAUGGCAUUGGUAUAUUAAGGGAGCAUUCCGAUUGUGAUAUUAGGCAGUUGGAAUUGUGUUUACUAGGUAAUACUGUAAAAUGUUAUACUGCCAUGUGCAUUCUAGCUAGUUGUAUA